AUACGGAGGGUGCAAGCGUUGUUCGGAAUCACUGGGCGUAAAGGGCGCGCAGGCGGUUUGGUAAGUCAGAUGUGAAAGCCCACGGCUCAACCGUGGAAGUGCAUUUGAAACUGCCAGACUUGAGGACCAGAGGGGAAAGUGGAAUUCCCGGUGUAGAGGUGAAAUUCGUAGAUAUCGGGAGGAAUACCGGUGGCGAAGGCGACUUUCUGGCUGGAUACUGACGCUGAGGCGCGAAAGCGUGGGGAGCAAACGGGAUUAGAAACCCCAGUAGUCC
rnacentral:rRNA from 1 species